UACGUAGGGUGCAAGCGUUAAUCGGAAUUACUGGGCGUAAAGCGUGCGCAGGCGGUUUUGUAAGUCUGUCGUGAAAGCCCCGGGCUCAACCUGGGAAUUGCGAUGGAGACUGCAAGGCUUGAAUCUGGCAGAGGGGGGUAGAAUUCCACGUGUAGCAGUGAAAUGCGUAGAGAUGUGGAGGAACACCGAUGGCGAAGGCAGCACCCUGGGUCAAGAUUGACGCUCAUGCACGAAAGCGUGGGGAGAAAACAGG
rnacentral:rRNA from 1 species